GAUAAACGCUGGCGGCGUGCCUAAUACAUGCAAGUCGAGCGAACGGACGAGAAGCUUGCUUCUCUGAUGUUAGCGGCGGACGGGUGAGUAACACGUGGAUAACCUACCUAUAAGACUGGGAUAACUUCGGGAAACCGGAGCUAAUAUCGGAUAAUAUUUUGAACCGCAUGGUUCAAAAGUGAAAGACGGUCUUGCUGUCACUUAUAGAUGGAUCCGCGCUGCAUUAGCUAGUUGGUAAGGUAACGGCUUACCAAGGCAACGAUGCAUAGCCGACCUGAGAGGGUGAUCGGCCACACUGGAACUGAGACACGGUCCAGACUCCUACGGGAGGCAGCAGUAGGGAAUCUUCCGCAAUGGGCGAAAGCCUGACGGGGCAACGCCGCGUGAGUGAUGAAGGUCUUCGGGUCGUAAAACUCUGUUAUUAGGGAAGAACAUAUGUGUAAGUAACUGUGCACAUCUUGACGGUACCUAAUCAGAAAGCCACGGCUAACUACGUGCCAGCAGCCGCGGUAAUACGUAGGUGGCAAGCGUUAUCCGGAAUUAUUGGGCGUAAAGCGCGCGUAGGCGGUUUUUUAAGUCUGAUGUGAAAGCCCACGGCUCAACCGUGGAGGGUCAUUGGAAACUGGAAAACUUGAGUGCAGAAGAGGAAAGUGGAAUUCCAUGUGUAGCGGUGAAAUGCGCAGAGAUAUGGAGGAACACCAGUGGCGAAGGCGACUUUCUGGUCUGUAACUGACGCUGAUGUGCGAAAGCGUGGGGAUCAAACAGGAUUAGAUACCCUGGUAGUCCACGCCGUAAACGAUGAGUGCUAGGUGUUAGGGGGUUUCCGCCCCUUAGUGCUGCAGCUAACGCAUUAAGCACUCCGCCUGGGGAGUACGACCGCAAGGUUGAAACUCAAAGGAAUUGACGGGGACCCGCACAAGCGGUGGAGCAUGUGGUUUAAUUCGAAGCAACGCGAAGAACCUUACCAAAUCUUGACAUCCUUUGACAACUCUAGAGAUAGAGCCUUCCCCUUCGGGGGACAAAGUGACAGGUGGUGCAUGGUUGUCGUCAGCUCGUGUCGUGAGAUGUUGGGUUAAGUCCCGCAACGAGCGCAACCCUUAAGCUUAGUUGCCAUCAUUAAGUUGGGCACUCUAAGUUGACUGCCGGUGACAAACCGGAGGAAGGUGGGGAUGACGUCAAAUCAUCAUGCCCCUUAUGAUUUGGGCUACACACGUGCUACAAUGGACAAUACAAAGGGCAGCGAAACCGCGAGGUCAAGCAAAUCCCAUAAAGUUGUUCUCAGUUCGGAUUGUAGUCUGCAACUCGACUACAUGAAGCUGGAAUCGCUAGUAGUCGUAGAUCAGCAUGCUACGGUGAAUACGUUCCCGGGUCU
rnacentral:rRNA from 1 species